UACAGAGGUCUCAAGCGUUGUUCGGAUUCAUUGGGCGUAAAGGGUGCGUAGGCGGCGCGGUAAGUCGGGUGUGAAAUCUCGGGGCUUAACUCCGAAACUGCAUUCGAUACUACCGUGCUUGAGGACUGGAGAGGAGACUGGAAUUUACGGUGUAGCGGUGAAAUGCGUAGAUAUCGUAAGGAAGACCAGUGGCGAAGGCGGGUCUCUGGACAGUUCCUGACGCUGAGGCACGAAGGCCAGGGGAGCGAACAGG
rnacentral:rRNA from 1 species